rnacentral:rRNA from 1 species
UUCGCCCUUCCUCUAGCCCAACUAACCCCUGACCACUAACAUCAAAAAGCCACUAUCACACCUAACCAAAACAUUCUAACCUGUCCCAGUAUAGGCGAUAGAAAAGACUCUCGGCGCAAUAGAGGCCAACCGUACCGCAAGGGAAAGAUGAAAUAAUAAUGAAAACUAUAAGCAAAAGACAGUAAAGACUAACCCUUGUACCUUUUGCAUCAUGAUUUAGCAAGAACAACCAAGCAAAGCGGACUAAAGUUUGCCAUCCCGAAACCCAAGCGAGCUACUUACGAGCAGCUAGAAUUGAGCGAACCCAUCUCUGUCGCAAAAGAGUGGGAUGACUCGUCAGUAGAGGUGAAAAGCCAAACGAGCUGGGUGAUAGCUGGUUACCUGCCAAAUGAAUCUAAGUUCCUCCUUAGCCUAUUCCCUAAGGACACACACUUCAACCCUAUACAUGUAAAAGCUAAGAGCAACUCGAUGGGGGUACAGCUCCAUCGAAAAAGAAUACAACCUCCUCCAGCGGAUAAUACCCCCUCCCCCAUACUGUGGGCCUUCAAGCAGCCAUCAAUAAAGAGUGCGUCAAAGCUCUCCAAUUAAAAAUCCAAAACCCCACUUGACUCCCUCACCUAAAGCAGGUCAACCUAUGAUAAUAGAAGAAUCAAUGCUAAAAUGAGUAACUUGGAGCCUUCCUCCGUACAGCGUAAACUUACAUCAACACAUUAUUAACAGAACUUCUUAUACUUCCACUUUAACAAGAACAUAUAUUUAACUUUCUGUUAAACCAACACAGGAACGCUCACAGGACGAUUAAAACCCACAGAAGGAACUCGGCAAACCAAAGACCCGACUGUUUCCCAAAAACAUAGCCUUCAGCAAACAACAAGUAUUGAAGGUGAUGCCUGCCCAGUGACCCCCCAAUGUUCAACGGCCGCGGUAUCCUAACCGUGCGAAGGUAGCGCAAUCAAUUGUCUCAUAAAUCGAGACUUGUAUGAAUGGCUAAACGAGGUCUUAACUGUCUCCUACGGGUAAUCAGUGAAAUUAGUAUCCCCGUGCAAAAACGGGGAUGUGACCAUAAGACGAGAAGACCCUGUGGAACUUUAAAAUCACGACCACCUUUCUACCAUCACUCCCCACUGGAUCCACCUACACCAAAGCACUCUUGGUCGAUAUUUUUCGGUUGGGGCGACCUUGGAGAAAAACAAAUCCUCCAAACCUAAGACCACAGCUCUUCACCAAGAUCAACUCCUCAAAGUACUAACAGUAACCAGACCCAAUAUAAUUGAUUAAUGAACCAAGCUACCCCAGGGAUAACAGCGCAAUCUCCUCCAAGAGCCCAUAUCGACAAGGAGGUUUACGACCUCGAUGUUGGAUCAGGACAACCUAAUGGUGCAGCCGCUAUUAAGGGUUCGUUUGUUCAACGAUUAACAGUCCUACGUGAUCUGAGUUCAGACCGGAGCAAUCCAGGUCGGUUUCUAUCUAUGAAUAUACUCCUCCUAGUACGAAAGGACCGGAGAAGUGGGGUCAAUACUACAAGCACACCCCAGCCUUCUAAGCAAUGAACCCAACUUAAUUGCCAAGAAGCCCCCCAUCCACACUCAUAUUCCUAGAAAAGGAACAG